rnacentral:ribozyme from 1 species
GUUUCGUUGCACCCUGCAACGGGAUGGGAUCCGAAGCCUCUUGAAGAUUCCAUCCAACUUUUUUCCGAUACGUCCACGACGAGCACAUGGGCUUAAAUCCAAUCACAUGGAUUGGUGGUAACAUGGGCUUAAAUCCAAUCUUUUGGGCGGGUGACGGCUCAUGUCUAAGAAGGAAAGA